CUCCUCUUCUCUUUUGUUUCCAGGCUCCUACUUAGUUGUGCAGUUCUGCUUUGCCAUGAGGUCCCACCAUGGUGCUGUCUCACCACAGGCCCAAAGCAACAGGACCAAGUGAUUAUGGACUACCACUUCUAAAACUUACCGAGGCCAGAUGUCUGGCGUCCAGCUGCAUUCCCAGGAAGGCUCUGGGGAGGUGCCUGCCUCUCUUCUUCUAGCUCCUGGCAGCUUCUGGCAGCUCCUGGCGUCCCUUGGAUUGUGGCCACAUCACUCCAGUCUCUGCCUCCGAAUUCACCUUAUCUGAGCCUCUGCCUCAUUCCUUAUCAAGACACAUAUGGUGGCACUUAAGGGGCACUCAGAGAGUCCAGAAUCUCCUCACCUCAAGAUCUCACUUAAUCACCUCGACAACUUCUGUUUUCCAAAUAAGUCUGCCUCCUCAGUCUCCAGGGAUCAGGGUGGGUCAUAUUUUUGAGAAGCCUUUUUUCCACCUACUAGACUCUCCCUGCUCUCCUGGCUGAAGUGUACUGCAAGGAAGGAGGAAAAAAAAUCCAGUGAAACUCUGACUUCACCACCCAACAAUUCUGUGGAGGGAGAAGCUUUAGCAGGGAGAAGCCUAAUGUUUCCACUCCUGAUGACUUCUGGGACCCAGGAGGGACCUGACAGUCAAUUUUCAUGUCAACAUGUGCUAUUUCUUCCCUGAGAGAAACAGAAUGGAACAGUCCAGUGUUGCUGGGUGGAAUAGCGGGCUCGUGCAAGACCAGAACGGGCUGUGAGCUCCAGGCACCUGAAGCUGUGACUCGCACACCCAGCCUCUCCUGCCUCCCCUGGCUCAUCUCGGCUCCUUUGGGUCCAGCAGUCCCAGCCUUGCCAGAGCUGGGGAGAAACUGACAGAGCUCCAUUUGCAAUCCACCUGUGGCAGGCUCAUAAAUCACACCACAGAAAACUAGCUCCUCACGGCAGUGGGAGGAGGAAAGCUCUGCUCAGAGACUGAAACACAUUGAUUUCCAAGAAUGAGGUGAGUGUGACCUGAGACACUGCCGCAGAUGGGACAAGGAGAUGCUGCUGAGGGUGGAGAGGAAUAACAAGCCACAGUUGAGUCUCAUACCUGGAGAGGGUCUAUAUGAUUCUAUCUUCACAGGAAAACCAACGUGUUAUAAGUGAAACCCAUAAGCAUGUGCAUCCGUGUGAAAGUAAGUUCCCCAAAGAACUGUGGGUGAUAGCUUCUACUUCCCCAUCAUGAGAAACCAGCAGCUGGAGAACUGGCUAGCUCCAAAACAACACUAUCUCAAACAGGACUAUCUCUGCAGCUGAAGAGGGCUCUGGGGAUGCUGUGAAAUAGACACAGAUGGACAGAGGAAAGCUGAGCCUCAAAGGGCAGGGGUGGCCAGGGGAGGAAGGGAGUCACCAGUAACUCCAGAAGUAGAGCAGGAAUCACCCAAGAUGGCAGAGGCUGGAUGAGAAGGAAGAGGCUGAGGGGCAGGGAGAUGGGGUGUGAGUCACUGAGAGCAGGGAGAGUUGUCCUGAGACCUGGUCCCUUGCGAACCUGAAUCUGAGACUCUUACUUGGGGGAUUCUGAGGUGAUCUUUCAUAGAGGAGAGGGAGUUCCUCUAGCUACUGGCGAAAACAGAGGUAGAGCCUCUUUGGAAUCAUAGUUUGUCUAAGUUGGUCCUGCCAGAAUCCUACAAAUAAAACAUACUGUACUGAUAACUUCACAAAGAAAAAUUGACAAAUAAAUGGAAAGGCAAGUCAUUGCUAAUUAGAGCUAAGAGAAACAAGAGUCAACAGCCUUAGAUCCCCAAGGAUUACAGGUGUUUCUAUAUUUGCUACAACAUGCAGAAGAGGUAAGUACAAAAUGCUUAGAGAAGAGAGAAUACACUCAUAAAGACGGGUAGGCAACAAGAAACUGUCAGGCAUGAAUAGAUUGAAUCAGGAGGGAAAAAAUGGAACUUCUAAAACUUAUUACUUUAAAUAUCAAAUUUUUAAAAAGCUCAAUGGAUCAGAUAAACAGUAGAUUGCAAUCAAAGAGAGAAUUAAUGAACUGGAUGAUAAAUCUGAAGAAGUUAUCCAGAAUGCAGCAGAGAAAUAAAGAGAUGAAAAUAUGACAAAGUACAAAGGAUACAAAAACUAGAAUGAGAAGGUCUAGUAGAGAGGUUGGCCUAACGUCCCUGGGUUAUUCCUACUUGGCCACUUGAUUCUUUAAAUAGUUUUAUUAGAAUACAACCACACUUGUUUGUUUAUAAAUUGCCUCUGGCUUCUUUCACACUAUAACUGAGUUGAUUUGAAUCCGUAGAGACUGUGUAUCCUUCAAAUUCAAUAAAAUAUUUACUCUCUGGCCUUUUACAGAAAAAGUUUAGUCCUGCCUUGAUAUAUGUCUGGGAACCCAACAGGGAUGAAUGGAGAAGGGAAAAAAAUAGAGGCAAUAUUUUUAAAGAGAAUGACUGAGUUUUCUAGAACUAAUUGAAAAUACAAAGCCAAUGAUCCAGAUAGGAC